rnacentral:rRNA from 1 species
AGUUUGAUCCUGGCUCAGGACGAACGCUGGCGGCGUGCUUAACACAUGCAAGUCGAACGGUGAUGUCAGAGCUUGCUCUGGCGGAUCAGUGGCGAACGGGUGAGUAACACGUGAGUAACCUGCCCCCGACUCUGGGAUAACUGCUAGAAAUGGUAGCUAAUACCGGAUAUGACGAUUGGCCGCAUGGUCUGGUCGUGGAAAGAAUUUCGGUUGGGGAUGGACUCGCGGCCUAUCAGGUUGUUGGUGAGGUAAUGGCUCACCAAGCCUACGACGGGUAGCCGGCCUGAGAGGGUGACCGGCCACACUGGGACUGAGACACGGCCCAGACUCCUACGGGAGGCAGCAGUGGGGAAUAUUGCACAAUGGGCGAAAGCCUGAUGCAGCAACGCCGCGUGAGGGAUGAC